UACGAAGGGUGCAAGCGUUACUCGGAAUUACUGGGCGUAAAGCGUGCGUAGGUGGUUCGUUAAGUCUGUCGUGAAAGCCCCGGGCUCAACCUGGGAAUGGCGAUGGAUACUGGCGGGCUAGAGUGCGGUAGAGGAGAGUGGAAUUCCCGGUGUAGCAGUGAAAUGCGUAGAGAUCGGGAGGAACAUCAGUUGCGAAGGCGGCUCUCUGGACCAGCACUGACACUGAGGUGCGAAAGCGUGGGGAGCAAACAGG
rnacentral:rRNA from 1 species